AGAGCAGAUUGACAUCUGGUACCAAUGAACUAAAUUUGUUUUCAUUUUCUGUUGGCCGGAUUCCAGUGAGUCCUCAAGUCAUCUUGAGAGUCUAGAAUGUAAAAAAAGGAACUGUAAAAAAAAGAAAAUUGCUGUCCAGCUUCUGUUCCAUCUUUCUGUGCAUCUGCUGCUGGACAUCAUUGAGAAUGAUUUGGAGGUACUUUAGCCGCUUAAAGCUGCUUGCAAGAUCAAGGAUUUUAAUUCCCAGUCUUGAGACUGAGUCAUUGAGAAUUGCUCACUGAAGUCACCAAUGGUGAGUGAAACCUUCACAACUUCAUCAUUUGCCCCAGCAAAAGUAAAAAUAACAGAGACUUUUUCUUAUAUCUGUCAAGAUCCACUUGCAUUGCAGUCCUGUCCUCCAGCAUGGCUACCAUCCUUCCUAGCUUGCUGUUACCUGAAAAUUUAAUACAAUAGAAUGCAAGUCAGAGAUGAAAAUACUGUCCUAAAUGAGAUGAGAUCCAAGACAGAACCUUGAGCAGAAUCAUUCAGUGCAUCCUUUCAGCUUUAUAGUGAGAAAUUAGUAAUUAUUCUGUUUCCCUCACUUGCUUAUAAGUCUUCACAGAGACUAGAACUGAAAUUCAAAAUGUACGACAAUUGUUUCUUUCCCUCAGCUUAGAAGAUCUGAUGCCUUGUCAUGAAAGGAAAUUAAAUUAAUUUUACAUAAUUUAUUCUUGACAAACUAUGUUGGUAUUACCUCCUUGUCGUGUCUAUGUACUAAAAAUUAUUUUCCUAACUCUCAAAAAAGUUGUUAUCUGAACUUUCUAGUUUUAUGGCCUAUAGCAGGCCUCCCAACCCUUCUUCUUUUACACUUUUAUCAUUAAUUUAUUAUUUUACAUCUAUCAUUAAAAAUGAUAAAUACGAAGUAAAACAUAGGU